rnacentral:rRNA from 1 species
UACGGGGGGGGCAAGCGUUGUUCGGAAUUACUGGGCGUAAAGGGCGCGUAGGCGGCUCGUUUAGUCGGGUGUGAAAUCCCGGGGCUCAACCCCGGAACUGCAUUCGAUACUGGCGGGCUAGAGACCGGAAGAGGUGGGUGGAAUACCCAGUGUAGAGGUGAAAUUCGUAGAUAUUGGGUGGAACACCGGUGGCGAAGGCGGCUCACUGGUCCGGUUCUGACGCUGAGGCGCGAAAGCGUGGGGAGCAAACAGG